AAACGGGUACCAUCAGCCGUGGACGCCGACGCCGCAAGUGCGCAACCCUGUCCGGAGCGCUGCCGCCGCCGACCGCCGCCAUGGGCAUUACACGACGGGCUUCUCUGUUCUCCUUGGUGCCACCGUCAGCUGGUUGCUUCAUUUUUAGUUAUAUCGAGACCCGAAUUACUUAUCUUUAGACAGUUGCUGUAGAUUCCGAGAUGCAUGCAAAGCAAUAUAUCACGAACGAUUUAGAUUGAAGAAAGGUCAAUCAGGCGAUUUGUAGAUCAAAACUUCAAAAGGGUUAAUUAUUAGGCUGAGUCAUGUAAGUUAAUGCCAUCAGAAGAUGUAAAAAAAG
rnacentral:lncRNA from 1 species